UCUUGGUCAAUUAGACAUUAUUGAUUGUGAAUCGUUACCUUUGGUGCUGGCUCUGGCAUGUGCACAUUGGUGACUUUCAUCCAAUCCCCCUGUGAACCCUUGGCCUCUCGCUGGCUUUGGCUGGUAGAGGAUUUUACACAUAAACUUGAAUGUAAUGAAAUCUGUUAUUGUGUGCAAGCACUAAUGUACAACUUUCAACAACGGAUCUCUUGGCUCUCGCAUCGAUGAAGAACGCAGCGAAAUGCGAUAAGUAAUGUGAAUUGCAGAAUUCAGUGAAUCAUCGAAUCUUUGAACGCACCUUGCACCCUUUGGUAUUCCGAAGGGUAUGCUCGUUUGAGUGUCAUUGUACUCUCACUCUUACCAAUCCUUUGGAUUUGGGGGUGGUGGAUUUGGGUUUGCCGCUUUACUGUGGCUCACCUGAAAGGCAUUAGUGCAACUCUCAGUUGGACAUAGAACGGCAUGAUAAGUAUCUUCGCCGGCACCUUGCAUGAGGGUGGCUGAUUGGGAGCUCUGUGCUUCAAACUGUCUUUGGACAAUCUCUGACACUUGACCUCAAAUCGAGUAGGACUACCCGCUGAACUUAAGCAUAU
rnacentral:sRNA from 1 species